rnacentral:ncRNA from 1 species
UCAAGCCGUAUGAAGGGAAACUCUCACGUACAGUUUCUUUUUUUUUGGGGGGGGGGGGGGAAGGAGCCCGACAGGAUCCCCCCACUGACUUGGCCCGGGCCUAAGUGAAAGUGAAGUGGUGGGCCUACCCAUCCCAAC